GGAUGCGAAUGGUCACAAGCUGGCUUUAGAGACAGCUACGUUAAUUAUCCCCGCGGUUCCCUGAGCAGCAAGCGUCUGGCCGGCAGAAAAGGAGAGGCUUCGCCUUGUGUCCAGAUGGAGCACGUGGUGAAAGCGGGGUCAGAAUACGGUUCUGCUCACCCGCUUUCUGCAGGGUAAUCCUGUAUCCCUUGCAAACAGGGAAGGACUGCAGGACAUCACUUCAGUGUGUACCAGUAACCACCAAAGGCAACUUUGCAAAGGGACUACUUGCAUUUUAUGAGCAUGCUGGGAUGAAGACUGGUCACCUAUUUACUAGCUUUCCUGGAAAAGCAACAGAGCAUCUUCCAAAUGAGGCCAGAAGCUUAAGUCCUGGAUGGGACACAGUCACUUACUGUCCUAGGGCUUCGUCACAACACUUGGCAUGGAGAAGGUGAACAAGGAUAGAAAAGAGAGUGGCCUAGAAAGUGGCUGCAUCAAAAAGAAAGAGACAACGCACACACAAAGUGAGGCGCUUGUUUCCGUAGGAUAUUGUAGGUACUAAAAAGUUGCAGGGGCUUAAGAACCAGCUGGACAAAUUCAAGGAAGAAAAGCCCAUCCAGGGCUAUUAAACACAGAGACACCAUCUCUAGCUCAGGAAGUCUCUGACCCACAAACCACUGGUCUGGUGGAGUAUUUAAGAGAAGAAUGACUGUAUAUUUGGCCUGUUUUUAUACUGUCUGUAAGCUUUUGCAAUUGGCUGCAGUUGGAGGUAGUUAUCUUUACUGCUCGAUGGAUCUUUUAUCUGGCUCCUUUGGCUCCUGGAGACAUUCUGCAGAAAUCACAACAGCUUUGCUUAUCCUGCUUAGCUGGUCUCGGCUAAUAAAUCUCAGUUCAUCCAGACAAUGUUCGGAAGGUGAAAGAAAAUGCUCAAAGAGCAAAAAUGCCCCCAAUCUUGCUUUUGUGAAACAGAGCUAUCCACCCAGGCCCUGUUGUUUGCUGUUACAGACAUCCAAAUUUAGGAAACAUAUGGGCGUGGGCAUAUUUAGAGUCAUUGACCACACGCAUGACAUAGCACUGGUUACUAAAACUGACCUGAGGUUGUUUGUCUUGCAGGAUAUGGUAAGGAGGCUUGGGCUGAGUAUCAUUGACUAAGGUCACAAGAGUUAAGCUUGAAAUAGCAGAACUUGAGAACUUUUGGGAUGUAAACAGGUGACCGAAGGGAGUAUGUCAGAGGCUUUUUGCAAGGGAUAAUCAUUGACCAGAACUGUUGGCAUGUAAGCCCUGCUCCGAGAAGGGCUCUACUGCCCGUGUAGCAGUGCUAGCAACAAAAAAAAUUAGCUCUGACUUCACUGUAAGUUAAUUAUAUUCCUAGGGAUUUGUAAUUCCAGUUGUAUGUCCUAAUAACUUAAAAGAGUGAUUAUAAACACCGCAUGAGAGAGCUCAUCUUAGUGCUCGCAAGCCAGAACAAGAGAUGGAGACCUCCAUCCCUCCCUUGCGGUUUGUGUUUCAAGUUUAGCUCUUAUAGCUAAAAUUGCUGUUACAUUUCCCUUUUAACCUUCAUUCCCAAGGAAAGAAAGCAUAUGCACUCAUAUUGCCUGUCUAGCCAUCUUCUUCCCUGCCAACUUUUGAAUCUGCAGGCUGAGUUCCUGCAGGUUUUAUGAAAUCCAGUUUCUAGGCAAAGUAAAAAGAUCCGGAAUCGUGUCUCUCCUUAGGGAAAGGAACCAGGAGGAGCUUGGCAAUGCCCUACACAGUUCGAGGUGUGCUGGAGAGUUGGCACACAGGCACUGGCCAGCCAGCGUGUCCUGCUUACGGGAUACGGGCAGCAGGGAGGGUAUGGGGUGGGGAGUAGCGGGGCUGGCAGUAUCACGAGGUCUUCAAGAGGACUAGAGGAGAUGGAGGUUAUUGUGGAAAGGAAGGGAAAUCGGACCCAAGAGCUUAGGAAACUGUGCUUUGUUCCGCUGCUCAAAGAAUGACUUAACACCACUUGUCUGUGUUUGAAGGCCCUUUGAAAAAGGAGGCUCUUGAACCCUAAAAUCUGUCUCCAAACAAAUCCGUUAGGUUUGAUGUGAUUAUUUGCUGCUGCGGGGUUUCCCAGAGGAACGCAGGCAGCCCGAGCUCCGGGGCGAGAAUUCACGGAACUGGGAGGCAGCAGGGUUCACCCGCUGCAUAUCAAUUCUUCCAGCUGGCAUCAGGCUUCAUGGUCCAGUUCCAAGUGCCGCCACUGAAAACAAACUCCUUUUCUGAAGAGUUGGGAACUCAGAUGUUCCCAGGAGAAAACAGUCCGGGGGCAUAAGCACAGCUUAGGUAAAGAUCGCUUUUGAAUGUAAAUCACUAAUGCUUUCUGCAGUGUUCAUCCGUCUUUAAGGUUUCUAUCCUUCCCCUCUGCUCCAGUCAAGACGUGUCUGUGCUGCUGUGGCCUUCACUUUAGGAAUGCUUUGCUAAAAAAAAGAAGGCUCGUACCCUGACCAGUAUAAUUGUGUUGGGAAAAGCCCACUGUAGAUUUAACUAAUAAUAAAAAAUAAGACCCUUUGCUAAGGGAUCUUACUGUUUUUGGUGGUAAUUCCCCUAUACUAACAAGCAACAUUUUUUGGUGGUGUAAGCUGGAUCUCCAUGUAAGGAUUUUUGUACAGAUUUUGAAGAGUAUGCUAAUUUUCCAGUACUGGCAACUUCCUCUGUUAAAUUAGUUGCUUAAGGAAUCACCUCCGCUGAGCAAUGGCCCUAGAAAUUGGGCAAAAAGGAUGACUGGGUUCCUGCUCUUCCAGGGUCUCCCAGCCUCUUUGCAACCAACUUUCAAUGACCAUGGCCAGGCAACCGGGAUUAAAUAACCAAGGUAACACCUUCCUCCCAAAGUGGUGUUACUGCCAACGCAAGCCAUCUUGUCACUCCUGGGGAGCAGAAGGUGUAGUUCUGGGGUGAUUACAUGGAAAUCAGCAAUUCUCUAGUGCGUGUCCACCCUAACUGAAUGUCUUGACGCUCGUGAAGCAGCAGAUUUCACUGGCACUGCUGAAGCUGGUUUUGCCCCAUCUGCUCAACCUUCUGCUAUUGUGGGUGGCUGCAGAGGCCACGCAUGAACUGAAAUUAGGAGCAGUUUAUAUUCCCACCGUGGACUGUGAAUGGUGCCAUAUAGCCACAUCUGCUAUGGAGACAGUAACCUCCGGGCAGGUGGGAGCAGGCGGCUGGACACGACAGCUUCCUCAGCACUUGCAGCUACGUGUGACACUGAACGGAGCCAUCACGUUGAGGGAUUUGAAUUCAUGUUGGCAAUAAAAGACUGAAAGAGGCAAAGAGUUUCUGAUCCCCAUGGAUUUGACACUCAGACAGAAUCGAUCGAUGAUGCAGACAAAUUUCCUCCACAGUCUUAUGAAGUCUAUGAAAAAACAAACAAACAACCCCCCCCCCAAACUGAUCUCGUUCAGCUCCAAAAUUCUCUCUUUUUCAAGUAGAAACUCCUUUUUCAUGACUGCAGGGUGGAUUGCUGCCUGUCAGAGGCUUGCUUCACUCUCUAGUCUAGAAGUUGCUUGACCCCAUCUGGUUAUGAUGAUCUGAAAAUCCUUCCCCCUUCGCCAGGCAGCCAUACUGAGGAGAACACGUGUGUGUACAAUAUGCACAGCAAUGCUGCUUUAUUCAGAAUAUGAAUCCUUUUUGGCCACACAAUAAAAUAUAUCAUCGUACAGGGAGAAUCAGAAUUAUGACUGGAAAGACAGGAACACAGAGCCAAUAUAAAUACUCACUGAAAAAAUACUUUCAAAAUAGCUAAGUUCUCCAUAUAUUUGUUCCUACUGCCUGAAAGUUUAUCACAUUUGCUUAGCUCAGGACUUUUUUCAUACUUAUUUCUGUUUGCUGUCUGCCAGCAUAUUUCUGUAUGUGAGGCAUAAACUGUGUCUUGCUACA